rnacentral:misc_RNA from 1 species
AAACAGAAUAAGUUAGAAUUUUUAGGUUAAAGUUGGAAUCUUUUAAUACCAAGGAGAAUGUCUAGGAGCAAAAGCAAACCCCUUAUAAAAACUUGCGUUGUGACGCUCAAUCAUAAGGAUUGAAUAAGAUUGCAUUUUUAAGCAGUUUAUUUUAUAAACACCCCACAUUCAUUACUAACUUUUAAUUGGAAAUUAAUGUGGGUCGUUUGGCGUGAUGUCUGGGGGGCAAGUCUUGUAGCGAGCCACAACCCUUGUUAUCGUUACCACUAUGUAAUGAUAGGGAUUUGUAUAAGAUUUUGGCUAUAAAGCAGGAGGGUAAGGCUUGUGUUUAAGUUAUUGCUCUUAUGUCCUACGCACGUGUUUACAAUGUCCUGUACAAAUCGAAGAGAAACAGUGAUUUGAAGCAAAAGCUUAAAGCGGGUUUCAGCAUGGACUGCAUUUUGAAACUCGACUUCAUGAAGUUGUAAUCGCUAGUAAUCGUAUAUUGGAAUGAUACGAUGAGUACGUUCUCAGGCACUUGUACACCGCUUGCCCGUUACAUCGUCUGAGUAUGGGGAUGGUCCUCCCUUCCGAAGUAUUAUCCUAACCCGUAAGGGAGAAGGUAUUUAAGGUUUGUU